UUGAAUAUCUGGCUUUACCAAUUACUAUCCUUAUCAUUUGGUUCCGAAGGCUGGAAGUCCACAAUCAGUGUCACUGGCUGAAAUCAAGGUGCUGGCAGGCUGCGCUCCCUCUGGAGGCUCUAGGGGAGAAUCCAUGUCUUCCAGCCUCUGACGGCUGCAGCGUUUCUUGGCUGUGGUCGCAGUCUCUGCCCCCGUGGUCACAUCACCUUCUCCUCUCCUGUGUGUGCCUCCGCCUUAUUAGGGCCACCUGGAUAAUCCAGGAUCAUCUCCUCAUUUCAGAAUCCUGGAUCCGGUAGCAAAGUGCCCCUCCCUCUUUUCUGUAUCGGUGGCAGCCACAGGGAGUGGGGAUCAGGAGGUGGCUAUCUGCCACACUCACGAAGGGGAUGGAAACCUGAAGGGAGCUGGUCACUCCCUCACUGAGGAGCCUGGUUGGGGAGAAGACACGUGGUCCUAAACACUUCUAAUUCAGGGAGAGGUGUCGACGAGGACUCCAGUUCAUAGGGAAAGCUGUCAUGCCCAUGGGUGGGAGCCUCCAUUACUAUGGAAAGUCUAAGAACCACUUCCUUUUGCCCUUAGAGCCCAUUCCUCAGCAGACCUCCACUCGCGUCGCCAAAGCAGAUCCCAGACUUGACUCUCAUGUUGUAGUGGCACAUGGAGGAGCAGGGAGCCCAUCCUCACUAGGGCCCGGGUUCGAGGGCCCCCUGGGCAUUCUGAUGGGCACCCCAUCUCCUCCUGAACAGUGCUGAUUAGUCACUCUCCCAUGGGGAGGGCAGGGGUUAGUGGAAGAAGCAGAACAACUUGCUGGGAGAUAAGGGAAGAUCAUUUUAAAAGGUCAGAUGCCACAUAAGGAAAGGUCAGGUAAGAAGGAGCCUCAGGCUGGCAGCCUACAAAACGUGGUAAAUUUUGCUUUUUAAAUUCCCCGGGACCUGAAGCUGCUGCACCUGUCUUCUGUCUCCAAGCAGAUCGUGAAAAAGAAAGAUCAAAGAAAAUGGAAAGGGGCUGGGUGUCUGCAUAUAGUAGGCUUGUCUAUACACACGCCCACUCCACAUCACCCUCUUAAUGGAACUCCCCUGCCCGCAGUGGUUCCAAAUACCUUUUUGGCUUAUUGUUCUAGGGACCUGUAUACUGUAGGCCCCUCUUAUCCAUGCAGGAUAGGUUCCAAGACCCCUAGCAGAUGCCUGAAACUUCCAAGAGUACUGAACCCUAUAUAUACUGUACCAUGUUUUUUCUUUUCUUUUCUUUUUUUUAAUAGAGAUAGGGCCUCACUGUGUUGCCCAGGCUGGUCUCGAGAUCCUCCCACCUUGGCCUUCCAAAGUAUUGGGAUUACGGGCGUGAGCCACUGCACCCGGCCUACUAUGUUUUUUUGAUUUGACAGUGAUGCUGGCUACUAAGUGCCUCACAGGCAGGUAGAAUCUAUGGUGUGGAGAUGCUGGGCAAAGGGACCAUUCACAUCCUGGGCAAGACGCAGUGGGACAGCACGAGAUUUCAUCACAGUACUCAGAAUGGUGCAAAAUUUAAAACUUAUAAGUUAUUUCUUUCUGGAAUGUUCCAUUUAAUAUUUUCAAACUACAGCUGACCACAGGUAACUGGAACCUCAAAAAGUGGAUAAGAGGGGAUAUCCUUCAGAUAUUCUCGUAAGUUGCCCUGAUGUCAUCAUUGCUUUGAUCGGGUAUCCUAGACCACCCAGGUAAAGAGUGCCCAGGUACAGGCGGGAGUACAGCAGAGUAUAAUUCCAGGACCUCUCGGCUCAAGUCCUGUUAAUACCCAGCUGGUGUGGGGGUUGGGUAGGUACAGAGUCUGCAUUUUCCUUCCUGCAGGGCUUAACUGUCUCCAGCCUGGAUGGGCUGCCCUCCCUGGUAGUCUCACCUCUGCCUCCUAGGGGCCCUGGGCAGAAUCUUUGUCUAUUUUGCCUCCCUUUUAUCUGAUUCAUCACCUGUGGGCACCAAGAGCUAUUGUGGAAUAUUGGGCAGAGUCCUGCGUGACGAUUCAGGUGGCCUUGGGUGAACUUCUGCUUUGGAUCGCUGAGUUUUCACAGAUCAGAAGGCAUCUCUGGGCCUCCUCCAUCUGCUGGUCUGAAGUGGGGGAAAACGGGGUGAUCAACAAGCCUCUUUCCAGUGGUGGCACUCCGGGCCUCUGUGGUGCUGGGAUUGGCUCAACCAAAAACCCAGCCUGGAUCCUGAAGCCCAGGCUUUAUUCUGCCUGUAUCUGUGGCCCUCCUUUAAAGUGCCGGGAUGAGCUGGUUUGGUGGCACAUGGCUCUGUGUCAAAUAUGUGAAAGAGCAGCCUGGACCUCGCAUUUUCAGAGAGGAGAGGACAGGCCGUCUUUGGCACACUCGAGUGGGCAG
rnacentral:lncRNA from 10 species